GUGCGAAGGUAGCAUAAUCACUUGUUCUUUAAAUGAGGACCAGUAUCAACGGCACCACGAGGAUCCUACUGUCUCCCCCCUCUAAUCAGUGAAACUGAUCUCCCCGUGAAGAAGCGGGGAUAAACGUAUAAGACGAGAAGACCCCAUGGAGCUUUAAACCCGACAGCACCCCCCCCCUACUAUAUAUCCUACUAUUUAUUCAGGACCUGCCUGCUCGGUUUUAGGUUGGGGUGACCACGGAGUAUAAAACAACCUCCAUGAAAAAAGGGAUAUUACCCUCAUUAGAGAAUGACACUUCCAAAACUAACAAAUUAAUUUUAAAUGAUCCGAUAUUCGAUCAACGAACCAAGUUACCCUGGGGAUAACAGCGCAAUCCACCCCAAGAGCCCCUAUCGACAGGUGGGUUUACGACCUCGAUGUUGGAUCAGGGUAUCCCAGUGGUGCAGCAGCUACCAAAGGUUCGUUUGUUCAACGAUUAAAACCCU
rnacentral:rRNA from 1 species